rnacentral:rRNA from 1 species
AUGGACAAUGUUGAAGUUACCGCUGCAAGUGGGGUCUCUGGGAAAAGUGGGGUCAUGGUAUGGACCACUUCCAUGACCAACACUAUGCUAGGUUUUUUGGCUGACCUUGUUGCUAAAGGGAAGAGAACUUCUAGUGGAUUCAGGGAGACACAUCUCAAACAAUGUGCUGCUAUUUUUAACGAGCAAUUCAAGCUAGCUAUCACCUCUGAUCAAGUUAGAAACCAUCUCAAGAAGUGGAGGAAGAUUUGGGUCAGGGUUGUCAAUUUGAAGAAUUUAAGUGGAGCUCUAUGGGAUGAAGAUACUUGCACAAUUAGGCUCAGCGAAGAACACUAUGCAGGUCACUGUAUGGUAAGCUUCUUGUAA